rnacentral:tRNA from 1 species
CGCGGGGUCAGCGCGGAUGACGUGGAUGCCUCGUCGAGGCAUCCGCGUCGCCGUACUACUCGGCGGCGCCGCGCCC